ACAGAAAUCUUAUAUGCAUAGUAAUUGAC
rnacentral:tRNA from 2 species